rnacentral:rRNA from 1 species
CUCCCUCGUUGCUGAUCUCAGGUUCGAUAAUGCCAAAUCGCACCACCUCGCCUAAAACCAACUUCGAUGAAGCGACGGGCGGUGUGUGCAA